UUUUAAGUAUCUUUAGAUUUUAGCUUUUAAGUAUUUUUAGAUUUUAAGUAUCUUUAGAUUUUAGCUUUUAAGUAUCCUUAUAUUUUAGCUUUUAAGUAUUUUAUCUUUAUUUUCUCCUCUUUCUUCUACAGGUCCUACGGCUAUGGAGUUGGCAGGUGUUGCAGUGGGGUUUCCGUCGUCCGUAUUCUGUCCAGGUCCGGGUAAUUCAGGUCAGUUUGCAAAAAUUUUAAAUAUCUUUUAAAUAAUUAUUUAUAUAUAUUUAUUUUUUUUUUACAUAUAUAUACGUAUAAAAAUACUGAGCUACUGGGUGCAAAUCUGCCGCAAAUUCUUCUAAAAAACUAGGCCUGAGCUCAACCCUAACGUCGCGCACGCUUGGCGGUAAUUUUUGGCCAGCGGUCUGGUCCGAUUCUAACCAAUGGUACUGUCAGUCCGUCUUGUCGUUCAGGGUCAAAAAUCUUUAUGGUCGAAACCUUUGGGUAUACCUGCGCACCCCAGGAUUGGCAGUGCGGAGCCGAUGUUCCC